GGGGAAUUUUGGACAAUGGGGGCAACCCUGAUCCAGCCAUGCCGCGUGAGUGAAGAAGGCCUUCGGGUUGUAAAGCUCUUUCGGCGGGGAAGAAAUGGCAACGGCUAAUAUCCGUUGUUGAUGACGGUACCCGCAUAAGAAGCACCGGCUAACUACGUGCCAGCAGCCACCCGUAGGAUACGAGCGUUAAUCGGAAUUACUGGGCGUAAAGCGUGCGCAGGCGGUUUCGUAAGACAGACGUGAAAUCCCCGGGCUCAACCUGGGAACUGCGUUUGUGACUGCGAGGCUAGAGUACGGCAGAGGGCGGUGGAAUUCCUGGUGUAGCAGUGAAAUGCGUAGAUAUCAGGAGGAACACCGAUGGCGAAGGCAGCCCCCUGGGCCUGUACUGACGCUCAGGCACGAAAGCGUGGGGAGCAAACA
rnacentral:rRNA from 1 species